rnacentral:lncRNA from 1 species
CGAGCGCGACUAGGUGAAGCGCCGGUGGAAGCGGGGCACGGCCGAGUCAUGGCGCGAUACAACGAGCGCCGCCGCGAUAAGGCGAGGUGAGGCUCGGCGAGUCAGGGUCGACGCCAAGGUGGCUGUGGUAGGUGUGGUGGGGUCGAGGCCGGCCGGGUCGACUCGAACGCGAGGCGCGGUGGUGGCACGCCCGGGCGAGGAGCAGAGGUGCGGCGCAGAUGGAGCAGGCCCGGGGCGGCUCGUGUGUGUGUGCGCGUGGGGAACCAGCGAGCCCCGACGGAGCAGGACCAGGGUGGCGAGGGUGUGCAACGGAGAGCCAUAGUUAGCCGCGAUGGAUGGAUGUGUGUGCAGCGAGCGCGGCGGGGCCGAACGGCGGAGGUUUGGC